UACGGAGGGGGCUAGCGUUGCUCGGAAUUACUGGGCGUAAAGCGCACGUAGGCGGCUUUCUAAGUCGGGGGUGAAAUCCUGGAGCUCAACUCCAGAACUGCCUUCGAUACUGGAGAGCUUGAGUCCGGGAGAGGUGAGUGGAACUGCGAGUGUAGAGGUGAAAUUCGUAGAUAUUCGCAAGAACACCAGUGGCGAAGGCGGCUCACUGGCCCGGUACUGACGCUGAGGUGCGAAAGCGUGGGGAGCAAACAGG
rnacentral:rRNA from 1 species